UAUAAAUUGUAGCUUGUACUGAAGCAAAAUGAUGCACACACAAAAACUCCUAUUUUCCGAUAUAAAGCUCUAGCAGUUCUCUGAUCGAUCGAUGGCUUUGCUCAAGUUUCUUUUUGUUUUGACUACUCUUCUCAUGGCAUUCACUGCUCAACUGUCAUGGCUCUCAAAGACACAAGUGAUUGCCACAAGAGAUGUUAAUCAUGAUUCAGAAGUGUUAGAAGGCAUGCUAGUCCUACCUUCUGCUAAGCUGAUGACUUGCGGGCGCAGUUGUACAUACAGUGAGGAAUGCAGUGACGGUUGGGCAUGCAAUCUUUGUAUUUUUAUAACACAAGAAUGGAAAGCUUGCAGCGCAUUUUGACAAGCUUAUCUGAAGGUCGUUUACUGGUUUCCGAACAACUCUACCAUGUGCAAGUUCUUAUUAUUUGUCUGAGUCUCUCUGUGUGCUUCAGUUCAUUCCAUGUUUUAUCCAGCAAUAAAAAAAAUAUCCAUUGAGAAAUCAUAAUGGAUGUACAACUUCGUGCAAUGCAUGUAGUCAUUGCUCAAUUUACAAGUGUAUCACAUAUGUUGUUUGUAUCGAACUUUUCUUCUUUCUUUGUUGAUUAACAUUCGUCA